rnacentral:antisense_RNA from 1 species
CUUCACCGAGCCGAGCCACAGCGGCCGGUCCCCGGUGUGUUCCCGGCCGUAGGUGGCCAGCAGUGCCUCGGCCUC